CAACGGGAAAGCACAUGCUAAGUAAGACACACAGGUGUGCAAGACAGUGUGCCGAGGAACACAGGAAGGAGGAAGCAUAGAGUCUGACUGGCAAGGGGCUGGCUGGAGACAGUUCUGGAACUGAGGCAGGGUCGGAUCACAGCAGGGUGGAAGUGUGCAGGGGAAAGGACUUCCCCAGAGGCCAUGGGAGAUGGUGAGUGAUGGCAGGAGGCCAGCUGGGACGCUGUGGGGCAGAAAUGUGUUCCCUAGAGCAGAGUCAGAGAUCACAGAAGCCUGUGCACAGCAGAGCAGGAAGAAAAUGGUAGACCACAGCCUCCUAGACGGCUGAACCAGUGUCUUAUUCAGCCAGCCCCUGGAAUGGCAGACAGUAACUAUGGAGGCAACAAUGUCCUUCACUCAUGCACAAGUCAGCUACCGAAAGCAAAACACCUGCAGGAAUCUCCCUGUGACCAUCCAACCGUGUGACCCACAGUGAAGGGAACCAUAGAGGUAAAUGAUUACUAGCGGUUUAAUGCCAGCCAAGGAAAAGCAGCCUGAUGCAAUGGGCAGAAGACAACUACUGGAAGAAUGAUACUGUAUUAAGUUAUGACCUGAAGAAAUGGAGAUGCUGGGACCUUGGAAAAACGAACAGUAGCCCUCACCCCCCAAGGUGUUUAGGGUAGUCGCCGGACAAUAGAGACCAACAAAGUAGGUGACACGAGCUGAAUCCUCAGGUCUCUCCCUAAACACAGACCAGCUCUGCAGGGAAGAGGAGCCUGGACACCCGGGGAGCUCCACCCUUGGCUCUGAUGCGUCUGUCCAAGCCACAGCAUGAGAGCCUGGCUCUUCUAACUCUGGUGAACCAAGGGCACUACAGCACCCCCCACCCCAUCCGAGCCCCCAAGCCCAGCUGUGCUGAAAACUUCACUGUGAAAGGAGAGUAUGCGCCAAGGAGCCCGGCUGAGCAACAUUUCCGCGGGCUCUUAAAGCCUACAUCCUCCCAGCAUCCCUGACCUUCCGCCGGCAGGAGCUAUCACUGUCCUCCCUAGGAUGAGCUCCCACAGUCUUCCCGCAGCUGUGCCUCUGCAUCUCUCCUCCUUCUCCUGCUCUCUGGUCUGCCCUGGAACAGGGACGCCAGGCGCUGCUCUGGCGUCCCGCAACCAAGAAGUGCCUUCCCACAGACAAGUACAGUUGACCCUUGAACGGUGUGGGGCUUAGGGACACCAACUGCCUGCACAGUCCAAAAUCUGUGCAUUACUUUUGACUCCUCCCCAAAUUUAGCUACUAAUAGCCUACUGUUGACCAGAAACUUUACUGAUAACAUAAACAGCCAGUUAGUACACAUUUGGUACGUUACAUGUUUCAUACCCUGAUUUCUUGCAACAAAGUAAGCUAGAGAAAAGAAAACCUUAUUAAUUAACUCACAAGGAGGACACAUUUACAGGACUAUACUGUUGUUUAUUGAAAAAAAAUCCACACGUAAGUGGAGCCAUGCAGUUCAGACCUCUGUGGAUCA